UUCUCUCUCUAACUUCUCUCUAGCCUCCCUAAACCCCUCCCAAGUCUACGGAACCUCUCUAUCACGAGAAGAAAGCCCCGGAGCGCCCGACGGCUCCGAGAAGAAAAGCUUUCGGCUCGGAAACGCUGCUCCAGCGAAGCCCGGUUUUUAAUAAAAACCCGCUGUUUCGUCAAGGGAUAAUUGUUUUAAGAGUAACGAAGUGCUGUCCGAGUGCCGACUCACCACCUUUCAAGUGUUGAUAUGAAGUGACAUUACACUGAGAGAUUUAAAGAGAUGUAGAUCACUAGUGUAAAUAAUUGUAAGUUCUGUUUAUGCUUAUGUUUCUGUAUUAACGAUGACAUCCCAAACGUUUUAAAAUGAAAUAAAUACGUUUCUUCGAAAAUGUUUUAAUAACGUAUUUACCAUGUUUUUCUGGGAACAAAUUCCGCAACAUUUUUAUAAAAUGAAGUACUCUGAUUUUUAUAAAGCAUAAACAACAUCGGUCUUUUUUGGCCGUGAAAAUGGGGAUGUCACAAUAUUUAAAAUAUAUAAAAUCCAUUUUUACAUAUAAUGAUACGAAAUUAUAAUACCUGGAGACUUUAAUCUACGCUGUUGGUUGUAAAGAAUACCAUCUGACAAGUGUUGCCAUGUAUUUUCCCAAACAAACUCUGGUCUACCCAAACUGUUAGACAUUAACAUCGUAGCAAAUAAGAAACGAAGAUAAAAACCAGUUCCUGAAUAACUUGCUUCCUUAAUUGCAUCAACGUAUUCUUUGUCAUCAUCUAAGAGGCCCAAAGCAUAGCAUGCAUCUCGAAAAGUAGGAAAUUCUUCACCGUUUACCGUGCGAAUUUCUUCAAAUGAUUUUGGACCUUUCACUUUUUUUAAAAGAAUCCGUAAGAAGUAGACUUCGCCAAGUUUAGGUGAAACAGAGUGAAUCCUUCCUAUUGAACGUCCAAUUUUCCUUGGCUUCCACAACUUAUCAUCAGGUUUCCAAACAAACUUUGUAGGAAAUUCAACAUAUGUAAGUUUUCGUGCAUCUUUGUUAAUUUUAUUACAUUCCAUCCAAGAUGUGAACAUAGAAGAAGCAACUGAAGGUUGUUCAAGAACAUCGUCAAUAUCAUCGUCUGCGGCAUAUAUGACUUGUUGUUGAUCAGGAAGAUGAAAAGGUAGUCGCAUCACAGAACGAUAUCGGUAAUGAACAUCGUAUUUAAAUAUUCGCCAUGAUGAUUCACAUACAGAUAUAUAUCUACAAUCAUAAUAAUCUUUUAUUUCAUCGACAACCUUUUCGUGAUUAGAAUCAGCGUUGAUGUCAACAGCAAUUGUAGCUCUAUCUGGAUCUUUGUUUAUAUAUUUAAACAGAUACUUUAUGGAAGAUCCCUGAUUGCACCAUUCAACAUUAAUGUGUGCCUGAUAUCUUUUCAACAGAUAUUUGUUAUAUGGAACAACAUUUCUAUUGUCUAACUUGACACCUGAUUUUUCGACAAAAUAUCCAUUGUUUCUUCUCAUAUAUAAGGGAUAACCGUUGACAUCAACCGAAGAAUGAUCACAGAAUUGCUUUGGAAAUUUUUUCGAACAUUGCUUGUCAACCAUGCAUGGACAAUUCAUAUUUUCAGCUCCACAAGGACCAUGUAUCAUGAAUUCACUUACAAGUGAAUACAAUUCUGGAUCUUCAUUGAUAUUUGGAAUCUCAGCAGAAAUAAUCGGAUCAAUAUAUUCAACAGUAGGCCGCUUGGAGUUAGCAUGCAUAAACAGACAAAUAUGACAAUGUGGCAAACCUCUUUUUUGAAAUUCAAUCGUAUAGACCACUGCAAAUUAAUUUUAUAAAUAAGAUAAUCUUUGUACUGGAUGAAAUAUAUUUGCAAAUAACCAAAAAUAUUAACAAACUAAAUAAUCAUUAUAACAAAACUAUUAGAAAUAAAUACAAGUUUUAUUACCUCCUUGAACAAUGCCGAAAAUUUUAUUUUCCCGUAUGUCUUUAAUCAAAGCAUCGAGCUUUAUUUUGAAUAGCCUACAUAAGAUAUCAGGUCUAUCUUCUGGAUUUAGUGAAGUGUUAUGAAGAAACCUUUUAACUUCAGGCCAUUUUGGAUUACAUGUAAAGGUUAUGAAGAAAUCAGGAUAUCCAAACCAUUUACAUAAGGACAUGGCAUCAAGGUAGUUUUGCAUCAUAUAACGUGCACCACCAGUGAAUGAGGAAGGUAAGAUUACACGUUGUCCAACGUUGGAUAUAUCUUUAUUCCCUAGGUUCUGUUGAGUACGUAACUUUUCAUAAGACUCACAUCUAAGAAUUUGUUGUUUGCUCCUUAUGAAAUGUAAUCUCUCACUUUCAAUCAUAGUAUAAGCAUCAACCAAAAACUGUUGGAACAACCUUUUUGAAUUAAGAAUUAGUGAAAAAUAUUGAUCCCUGUCUUGUAUUCUAUAAGAAAAAAACUCUCUCAUUGUACAGUUGGGCCUCUUGCUGUUACUUA